rnacentral:rRNA from 1 species
GACGAACGCUGGCGGCGUGCUUAACACAUGCAAGUCGAACGAAAAGAGGGGAAGAGCUUGCUCUUUUCAGAAUUGAGUGGCAAACGGGUGAGUAACACGUAAACAACCUGCCUUCAGGAUGGGGACAACAGACGGAAACGACUGCUAAUACCGAAUAAGUUCCAAGAGCCGCAUGGCCCAUGGAAGAAAAGGUGGCCUCUACCUGUAAGCUAUCGCCUGAAGAGGGGUUUGCGUCUGAUUAGCUGGUUGGAGGGGUAACGGCCCACCAAGGCGACGAUCAGUAGCCGGUCUGAGAGGGUGAACGGCCACAUUGGGACUGAGACACGGCCCAAACUCCUACGGGAGGCAGCAGUGGGGAAUAUUGCACAAUGGGGGAAACCCUGAUGCAGCGACGCCGCGUGAGUGAUGAAGUAUUUCGGUAUGUAAAACUCUAUCAGCAGGGAAGAUAAUGACGGUACCUGACUAAGAAGCACCGGCUAAAUACGUG